rnacentral:rRNA from 1 species
UACGAAGGGGGCUAGCGUUGCUCGGAAUCACUGGGCGUAAAGGGUGCGUAGGCGGGUCUUUAAGUCAGAGGUGAAAUCCUGGAGCUCAACUCCAGAACUGCCUUUGAUACUGAAGAUCUUGAGUUCGGGAGAGGUGAGUGGAACUGCGAGUGUAGAGGUGAAAUUCGUAGAUAUUCGCAAGAACACCAGUGGCGAAGGCGGCCAACUGGUCCGGUUCUGACGCUGAGGCGCGAAAGCGUGGGGAGCAAACAGG